rnacentral:siRNA from 1 species
GGAGGGAGGCCUUGGACUGC